rnacentral:rRNA from 1 species
GACGAACGCUGGCGGCGUGCUUAACACAUGCAAGUCGAACGGAAAGGCCCUGCUUUUGUGGGGUGCUCGAGUGGCGAACGGGUGAGUAACACGUGAGUAACCUGCCCUUGACUUUGGGAUAACUUCAGGAAACUGGGGCUAAUACCGGAUAGGAGCUCCUGCUGCAUGGUGGGGGUUGGAAAGUUUCGGCGGUUGGGGAUGGACUCGCGGCUUAUCAGCUUGUUGGUGGGGUAGUGGCUUACCAAGGCUUUGACGGGUAGCCGGCCUGAGAGGGUGACCGGCCACAUUGGGACUGAGAUACGGCCCAGACUCCUACGGGAGGCAGCAGUGGGGAAUAUUGCACAAUGGGCGGAAGCCUGAUGCAGCAACGCCGCAUGCGGGAUGACGGCCUUCGGGUUGUAAACCGCUUUCGCCUGUGACGAAGCGUGAGUGACGGUAAUGGGUAAAGAAGCACCGGCUAACUACGUGCCAGCAGCCGCGGUGAUACGUAGGGUGCGAGCGUUGUCCGGAUUUAUUGGGCGUAAAGGGCUCGUAGGUGGUUGAUCGCGUCGGAAGUGUAAUCUUGGGGCUUAACCCUGAGCGUGCUUUCGAUACGGGUUGACUUGAGGAAGGUAGGGGAGAAUGGAAUUCCUGGUGGAGCGGUGGAAUGCGCAGAUAUCAGGAGGAACACCAGUGGCGAAGGCGGUUCUCUGGGCCUUUCCUGACGCUGAGGAGCGAAAGCGUGGGGAGCGAACAGGCUUAGAUACCCUGGUAGUCCACGCUGUAAACGGUGGGUACUAGGUGUGGGGUCCAUUCCACGGGUUCCGUGCCGUAGCUAACGCUUUAAGUACCCCGCCUGGGGAGUACGGCCGCAAGGCUAAAAUUCAAAGGAAUUGACGGGGCCCCGCACAAGCGGCGGAGCAUGCGGAUUAAUUCGAUGCAACGCGUAGAACCUUACCUGGGUUUGACAUGGAUCGGGAGUGCUCAGAGAUGGGUGUGCCUCUUUUGGGGUCGGUUCACAGGUGGUGCAUGGCUGUCGUCAGCUCGUGUCGUGAGAUGUUGGGUUAAGUCCCGCAACGAGCGCAACCCUUGUUCACUGUUGCCAGCACGUUAUGGUGGGGACUCAGUGGAGACCGCCGGGGUCAACUCGGAGGAAGGUGGGGAUGACGUCAAGUCAUCAUGCCCCUUAUGUCCAGGGCUUCACGCAUGCUACAAUGGCUGGUACAGAGAGUGGCGAGCCUGUGAGGGUGAGCGAAUCUCGGAAAGCCGGUCUCAGUUCGGAUUGGGGUCUGCAACUCGACCUCAUGAAGUCGGAGUCGCUAGUAAUCGCAGAUCAGCAACGCUGCGGUGAAUAAGUUCCCGGG